AGCUUUGAGCAGUGGCAGUAUCAUAGCCAAUGAGGUUUAUCCGAGGCGUGAUUAUUGCUAAUUGGAAUACUGAUCCAGUGAUUUAUGCAGGUUGUCUAAAUGUAGACAUGACUCAUUACACAGUAUUUUUAAAAUCAUAUUUGUU
rfam:Canis lupus familiaris chromosome 13, whole genome shotgun sequence.